AGAAAGGAUAGGUUAAUUUGUGGAACAUCAAGACCACUGGAAAAGAGAGAUGGUCAUUGUCGCAGUACAGAACAGAUUUCUGUGCUGACCAGAUGUUGCACAAUGUUAUUGUGGAGGUUGCUGGCAGAAGCUGGAGGCUUGGCACCUGGAAGGAAAGGAACUAAGUGGAGACCCUGCUUACCAUCAAGUUUCCACAGAAGCCCAAAGCAGACUCAACUUCACUAAGUCCAUCGAGUGA